UGGGGAAGGGCUUUCGCCCACCUCCUCCUCUCACGGGUUUUUCAGCGUGGGAUCCAAACCAAAUUCCAACUUGGUCCAGCGGGGGCCGUCCCCGGUGCCGGAACAGAUCUGCCAGAAACCCACUGCCCGGCUGCUUCCGGGUGGUACAUUUUUCCCAAAGAAAGGAAUUUCAAACUUCUCUUGGGGAGCAGAGGGAUGCUGCACGGACCUGGGCCUAGAGAGCAGGCGAGGGCGCAGGGCAGGGACAGAGCGAGGCAGACUGGAGGCUGAGUCAGUCCUCUGGGGGCGUUUGGGGUGGAGUGUCAGGAGCAGAUGGCAUUGCCUCUGUCCCUCCCUGCUAGGGGGUGUGUAGGGACCACACCGUUGGCCACAGGAUUUCAGGCUCUCUCAGCCUCUGCGCUGGCUGCAAAGCCCCUGGACGGCAGGUCGGCGAGGAGCUGCUUCCUCGUCCCUGGCCGGCAGACCCGGGUUCCUCCACGCUGCAUUCUCCAGCUGGAGCAAAUGCGUGCCAGCCCCCCACCCUGCUCGCUCCCAGGAACGCGCUGCACGUCCCAGGCUUGUCCUAGGACCCUGAAGCUGACCCGGCAGCACAAACCCCCUGCUCCCAGCGCGGGGGCUGGGGUCUCUGCUGGCUGCUUCCCAGUCAUGGAGCUCAGCUCCAGCCGGUCUUCGGAGCCUCCCACUCAUACGGGCUGAGAAGAAGUGCGGAGCCACUGGAGAGAAGCAAUGGCUCAUUCCCGCUUCCUCCCGGCCCCUGGAAGUCAGGGCAGCCCCUUGGAGGGAAACCCACUCCAAGACACUCCCAACGGGAGGAGAGCGGAACCACUCGCCUCCUUGGCCAAAUAUUUACAAAGAGAUAGCUGUGGCCACACAAAGCCCUUUUCUUCCAUUCCGCCACCAAAAAUCUGGUCCCCGCGUGGAGAAUGAGCUCCCUGCCGCCCCUCUCCCAGGGACUCUGAGUGUCCUGCUGGCCCCAGGCCCUGGCCAAGGGGCGGUGAGGCUCCGGGCCCCACUGCCGCAGCCCGGGGGCCCACCGGGCAGCCGCACCACCUGAAGGCCCCGGAGCCAACGGUGCGAGGCUGGGAGAACAAAGAGCAAGGACUCACCCCAGCAGCUGAAAGUCGGGCUGCGCUGGACGCCGCCGGAGAGCCGCGGCCCGCCCACCAGGUCACAUGGCUCGGAGCCCAGCAGAGGAUCAAAGGGGCUUUGUGGCCGAGGAACAAGGAGCCUCCCAGAGCGCGGGGCAGAGGCCCUGUGAUGUGCUGGGACCCAGCGGGGGAUGGGCACGGGGGUCCCCAAGGGGGAGCCCACCCUGCUGGGCUGGGCCUGGGCGCUGGGAUCUUCCAGACCCAUCCCGAUGCCGCGCCUCUGACCCCAGUGAGUCACUCCCAGGAACAGGCCUGGCCAAGGCGGCCCCACGCCAACUCCCACAUGAGUGCUGGGGGGGCUGGUCGGGGAGGUUUGCUAGGGGCCAGGAGCAAACCCUGAGCCUCUGGUGACACCUGGGAAAGGCAUCUUAGGGCCCUGGGCUGGGUUCUCCAAGGGACAGCCAUCCCUAGCCAUGAGGUGUGGCUCUAGCCCAGCCCCCAGGGCCUCGUGCCAAGGCCAUUCCAGUCCCACCCUGUGCUGAUGGUCAAGACCCCAGGGCACCCACUCCACUGGCCACACAUGGGGACCCAAGGCCCCUGGCUGCCACUCCUGGGAUGUGACCUUCCCAUCUAUCAAAUGGGCACCGUCAAGUCUGAACUCCAGAGCCAGGCGCAGGUCCAGCCUGGCCCAGCCAGGAGGGGCCCCCCAAACCCUCGGCUCCUCUUCCCCCAGGAAGGGAGUUCCCAGGCCCAUCCUCCCCAGGCAGCUCCAGGACCCAGGGAAAGAGCAGGCUGAGGGGCCCAGGGUCAGGGCUGACCCAGCCUCGGAGACAGGGCCUGCACGCCGCCCGUGGCCUCCUCCCGGGGACAGAGGGCUCCCUCCGGGUGCUCCCCGCUGAACCUCCCGCUUAGACUCGGGCCCUAUUCUGCCUCCCAGCUUCUGGCCACUCAGGCCAUUCCCGGCAAACCUUUCCUGGCCACUCUGGCCAACGGCCUGCUCUCCCCGGGCCUUUUCCCUCCCUCCUCCGGAUUCCUGGCUUGGGAGGUGGCAGCUUGGAUGCUGUGCACAGGUGCCCAUCCCUCUUGCAGCUGACCUGCUCUUGUCACCAAAUGAAGUUCUCCAGAGCACAAGAGAGGGAACCCCGGGGCUACUCAGCGGCUUCUUCAACCUGAAAUGCCACCUUGGGCACUUUCUCAGGUCUCUGCCACUCAGCACUCUCACACUCAGUGUCACAGCCUGUCACCUGCAUAGGGGCCACCAACCCUCUGGGAGGAACAGAAUUCGAGCCACAGCUAUAAGCUCCGACCUCCUCGUUGCCAAAUUCAGAACACAAGAAUGACCGGGCGACACUCAUCUUAAUACAUUUUUACCUCAUCUAAGACACGUGAUCAACACGAAAACCCUGGAGACACCCCGGUUGCUCUCUCCGUCAAUACUGAGGCUCUGAAAUCCAGGGUGUUUCCCACUUAGGCCCCUCCCAGUUUGCACACAUCCCAUGCUGCAUGCUCAGGAGCCACGCGUGGCCAGGAGCCGCUGUGCUGGACGGUGUGGCCCUAGGCAGUGUCCUUUCGCCCUGGGAUCACCCAGUCCUGGAGAACCCUGGACUGAGAUGCCUCACUGCAGCCCUGAGUCACUUCCAGAACCACCGUGUCUGCACUUCCGUGCAGAGGUAGAAACACAGUGGCCUCGGCUCCAGGAGACGGCUGGCCGCCCAUGCCCACAUCUUGGAUUUCAGUAUCAGAGAGAACAGAGCUUCUCUGAGGAAAUCAACCAGCUGGACCGAGGCUAGGCAUCAUCCAGACCUGCCCACCUUGUCUUAUUAAACUCACCCCCAGUGCCCAGGGCAGGACGCACCUGGGAGCGGGUGGCUGGCCACUGGCUCGUGGCGUCUGGCCCCGGAGGGUGCGCCUAGGCAUUGGCGUGGCCCCAGGAGCUGAAGCAGGAGCUUGGCUUGGUGGAGGGCCUGAGGCCGUGGGAAGCUGCCCAGGCCACAGGCAAAGGGAGAGCAGAAAACCGUGGCAGCGCAGGCCGAGACCCGGGCUCCCUCCACCCCUGCCCUUCCGGAGGCGGAGGUGUCCACACGCUGGCUUCCGCCAACUCACACCCUUCCAACAGCGAGCUCAUCAAGCCGUGUUUAUUUAUAUUAAAGUCACAUAGAAUUGCACUUAAAGAAGAAUUUAUGGAGACAGAAAGCAGACCAGUGGCUGCCAAGGCCAAGGGCGAGGGGAGGGGAGGGGACGGCUCUUCGUGGACACGGAGGAUGACAGGGUUCUGGAGCUCCACUGACCAACAGCCACGUGACACUGAAGGCACGAGAGGCUACCAGCGGUGCAGCCGACCUUUCGGGUGUCACCACAAUAAAACAUACCAGGGAAAGGGA